GCCGAGGUAGCUCAGUACGGUAGAGCGGGGGCCUUGAAAACCUUGUGUCGCCGGUUCGAGUCCGGCCCUCGGCACCA
rnacentral:tRNA from 1 species